ACCACCAUGUUGCAAGUGCACCUGCUGCUACUGUGUGCCCCGGAAAUUGAAGGGCAGAGCAGUUAAAGGAACUUGACCACAACAAAAUACAUCAGAAAAGCGAUGAAAGAUCAAGGAGGAUGCAGACCACAUCACGCUGAGACCUCGACAGCCCGCGGAGACCCACUGAACCAGGACCGACGCUGGGCUAGAGGCCCAAAUCUGCCCCAAGCAUCUUUCUGAACAGAGCUUGACCAGAAACCAGAACGGGGCAGCAGAAUUUACCCACAGGGAGCUGGUGACUGCAUCAGGGCCCAGAGGGGACCCCCAGACCAUUGUUCUCAUGAAGGGACCUGGGGCCACAACUGGGGACUUGGACACCCGCUUGGGCCGCACUCGCGUCCAUGUCUACUUGGCAUCGGCUCUGAGCCACGCAGGAAGACCACUCUGAAGAGGAAGUCAUCACUGAGUGACUAAAUGCCUCUGGGUUCAUGUCCAUGAACAGAGCCUCUGUCCUACGGUGGGAAGAUGGAGUGGCAGGGAGGCACAUGGGCACCUGCCGGGCACCAGGGUCAUCCAAACCCACCAGCUCAGCCACCUCCCCAGCCCUCCCCUGGGGCCCACACAGUUGGCUUGUUAGAAAUAAAAUGCAGAUUUUUACUCUUUUCAAUUUCUCCUUUUAAAAUUCAAAUAUCCACUGACAUAGUCGCUCCACAUACUACAGAAAAACAGGGCAAACAGCCCCGGAGAUGUGAGCUGGGGCCCGUGUCACCCCAGUGAAGCAGGGGGCGGCCAGGCC
ensembl:lncRNA